CACUGGCUCAGGAUGAACGCUAGCGGCAGGCUUAACACAUGCAAGUCGAGGGGCAUCGGGAGUAGCAAUACUUGCCGGCGACCGGCGCAAGGGUGCGUAACGCGUGAGCAACAUGCCCGUAUCAGGGGGAUAAUCCAUGGAAACGUGGUCUAAUACCCCAUAGUAAUUAUGUAAGGCAUCUUAUAUAAUUUAAAGCUUUGGUGGAUACGGAUUGGCUCGCGUGACAUUAGCUGGAUGGUAAGGUAACGGCUUACCAUGGCUACGAUGUCUAGGGGUUCUGAGAGGAAGGUCCCCCACACUGGAACUGAGACACGGUCCAGACUCCUACGGGAGGCAGCAGUGAGGAAUAUUGGACAAUGGAUGGAAAUCUGAUCCAGCCAUGCCGCGUGCAGGAAGACGGCCCUAUGGGUUGUAAACUGCUUUUGUAUGGGAGCAAUAAGGGCUACGUGUAGUCCGAUGAGAGUACCAUACGAAUAAGCACCGGCUAACUCCGUGCCAGCCGCCGC
rnacentral:rRNA from 1 species